GCCCGUGUGGAUCAAUCGGCCGCGCACUGGACUCACAAUCCAGAGGUCGCAGGUUCGAAUCCCGCGGCGGGCG
rnacentral:tRNA from 1 species